GGCGUAGGCGGAAUUGUAAGCCAGACGUGAAAUCCCGAGGCUCAACCUCGGAACUGCGUUUGGAACUACUUUUCUAGAGGAUAGACGGAGAAAACAGAACUCUGCAAGUAGCGGUGAAAUGCGUAGAUAUGCAGAAGAAUACCGGUGGCGAAGGCGGUUUUCUAGUUUAUUCCUGACGCUGAGGCCCGAAAGCUAGGGGAGCGAACAGGAUUAGAUACCCUGGUAGUCC
rnacentral:rRNA from 1 species